UACAGAGGGUGCGAGCGUUAAUCGGAGUUACUGGGCGUAAAGGGCGCGUAGGCGGUAAGUUAAGUAAGAUGUGAAAGCCCUGGGCUUAACCUGGGAAGUGCAUUUUAAACUAACUGACUGGAGUAUUGGAGAGGGUGGCGGAAUUUCCGGUGUAGCGGUGAAAUGCGUAGAGAUCGGAAGGAACGUCGAUGGCGAAGGCAGCCACCUGGCCAAAUACUGACGCUGAAGCGCGAAAGCGUGGGGAGCGAACAGG
rnacentral:rRNA from 1 species